UGAUGUGGGAAUUAGAGGAGUAUGAC
rnacentral:piRNA from 1 species